rnacentral:rRNA from 1 species
AUUGAACGCUGGCGGCAGGCUUAACACAUGCAAGUCGAGCGGAGAUGAGGUGCUUGCACCUUAUCUUAGCGGCGGACGGGUGAGUAAUGCUUAGGUAUCUGCCUAUUAGUGGGGGACAACAUUCCGAAAGGAAUGCUAAUACCGCAUACGUCCUACGGGAGAAAGCAGGGGAUCUUCGGACCUGGCGCUAAUAGAUGAGCCUAAGUCGGAUUAGCUAGUUGGUGGGGGAAAGGCCUACCAAGGCGACGAUCUGUAGCGGGUCUGAGAGGAUGAUCCGCCACACUGGGACUGAGACACGGCCCAGACUCCUACGGGAGGCAGCAGUGGGGAAUAUUGGACAAUGGGGGGAACCCUGAUCCAGCCAUGCCGCGUGUGUGAAGAAGGCCUUAUGGUUGUAAAGCACUUUAAGCGAGGAGGAGGCUACUGAGACUAAUACUCUUGGAUAGUGGACGUUACUCGCAGAAUAAGCACCGGCUAACUCUGUGCCAGCAGCCGCCGUAAUAC